AAUAGGACUUCCUGAUUAUUUGGUGAAAGAAUGAAAGAGUAAGACAGACCUGAGAUAAACUUCUAGUAGCCACAGUAAACAAAGUAGAAACAGGCCUUCUUUCCACGGAACCAGUCUGCUUUUAUGAAGAAAAGACAAACGUAGAAAGAAUGGUGACUGACUACCAGGCAAAUUAUUACCAGGAUUCAGUGACCUUUGAUGAUGUGGCUGUGGAGUUCACCCUAGAGGAGUGGACUUUACUGGACACAACUCAGAGAAACCUAUACAAAGAUGU
rnacentral:lncRNA from 1 species